UGGCUCAGUUGGUAGAGCAUGGUGUUUGCAACGCCAGGUUUGUGGGUUUGAUUCCCAU
rfam:Salmo salar isolate Sally breed double haploid chromosome ssa12, whole genome shotgun sequence.